UGCAGUCGAGCGGAACGAUCCUAGCUUGCUAGGAGGCGUCGAGCGGCGGACGGGUGAGUAAUGCAUAGGAAUCUGCCCGGUAGUGGGGGAUAACUUGAGGAAACUCAAGCUAAUACCGCAUACGCCCUACGGGGGAAAGCAGGGGCUCUUCGGACCUUGCGCUAUCGGAUGAGCUUAUGUCGGAUUAGCUGGUUGGUGAGGUAACGGCUCACCAAGGCGACGAUCCGUAGCUGGUCUGAGAGGAUGAUCAGCCACAUCGGGACUGAGACACGGCCCGAACUCCUACGGGAGGCAGCAGUGGGGAAUAUUGGACAAUGGGGGCAACCCUGAUCCAGCCAUGCCGCGUGUGUGAAGAAGGCCCUCGGGUUGUAAAGCACUUUCAGCGAGGAAGAAUGCUUGUCGGUUAAUACCCGGCAAGGGAGACAUCACUCGCAGAAGAAGCACCGGCUAACUCCGUGCCAGCAGCCGCGGUAAUACGGAGGGUGCGAGCGUUAAUCGGAAUUACUGGGCGUAAAGCGUGCGUAGGCGGCUUGAUAAGCCGGUUGUGAAAGCCCCGGGCUCAACCUGGGAACGGCAUCCGGAACUGUUAGGCUAGAGUGCAGGAGAGGAAGGUAGAAUUCCCGGUGUAGCGGUGAAAUGCGUAGAGAUCGGGAGGAAUACCAGUGGCGAAGGCGGCCUUCUGGACUGACACUGACGCUGAGGUACGAAAGCGUGGGUAGCAAACAGGAUUAGAUACCCUGGUAGUCCACGCCGUAAACGAUGUCGACUAGCCGUUGGGGUCCUCGAGACCUUUGUGGCGCAGUUAACGCACUAAGUCGACCGCCUGGGGAGUACGGCCGCAAGGUUAAAACUCAAAUGAAUUGACGGGGGCCCGCACAAGCGGUGGAGCAUGUGGUUUAAUUCGAUGCAACGCGAAGAACCUUACCUACCCUUGACAUCGUGCGAACUUUCCAGAGAAUGGAUUGGUGCCUUCGGGAGCGCACAGACAGGUGCUGCAUGGCUGUCGUCAGCUCGUGUUGUGAAAUGUUGGGGUUAAGUCCCGUAACGAGCGCAACCCUUGUCCCUAUUUGCCAGCGAUUCGGUCGGGAACUCUAA
rnacentral:rRNA from 1 species